rfam:Schistosoma mansoni strain Puerto Rico chromosome 1, complete genome
AUCCAUUUGACGAGUUCCAAAUAGGACGAAACGCGCGUCCUGGAC